rnacentral:rRNA from 1 species
GACGAACGCUGGCGGCGUGCCUAAUACAUGCAAGUAGAACGCUGAAGAGAGGAGCUUGCUCUUCUUGGAUGAGUUGCGAACGGGUGAGUAACGCGUAGGUAACCUGCCUUGUAGCGGGGGAUAACUAUUGGAAACGAUAGCUAAUACCGCAUAACAAUGGAUGACACAUGUCAUUUAUUUGAAAGGGGCAAUUGCUCCACUACAAGAUGGACCUGCGUUGUAUUAGCUAGUAGGUGAGGUAAUGGCUCACCUAGGCGACGAUACAUAGCCGACCUGAGAGGGUGAUCGGCCACACUGGGACUGAGACACGGCCCAGACUCCUACGGGAGGCAGCAGUAGGGAAUCUUCGGCAAUGGGGGCAACCCUGGCCGAGCAACGCCGCGUGAGUGAAGAAGGGUUUCGGAUCGUAAAGCUCUGUUGUAAGUCAAGAACGGGUGUGAGAGUGGAAAGUUCACACUGUGACGGUAGCUUACCAGAAAGGGACGGCUAACUACGUG